GCGGGUGUAGUUCAAUGGUAGAACUUCAGCCUUCCACGCUGACUGCGAGGUUUCGAUUCCCUUCACCCGCUCCA
rnacentral:tRNA from 1 species